AGAUUGAACGCUGGCGGCAGGCUUAACACAUGCAAGUCGAGCGGUAACAGAGAAUAGCUUGCUAUUUUGCUGACGAGCGGCGGACGGGUGAGUAAUGCUUGGGAAUAUGCCUUAUGGUGGGGGACAACAGUUGGAAACGACUGCUAAUACCGCAUAACGUCUACGGACCAAAGGGGGGGAUGCUUCGGCACCUCUCGCCAUUUGAUUAGCCCAAGUGAGAUUAGCUAGUUGGUGAGGUAAAGGCUCACCAAGGCGACGAUCUCUAGCUGGUUUGAGAGGAUGAUCAGCCACACUGGGACUGAGACACGGCCCAGACUCCUACGGGAGGCAGCAGUGGGGAAUAUUGCACAAUGGGCGAAAGCCUGAUGCAGCCAUGCCGCGUGUGUGAAGAAGGCCUUCGGGUUGUAAAGCACUUUCAGUUGUGAGGAAAGGUAUGUAGUUAAUAACUGCAUACUGUGACGUUAGCAACAGAAGAAGCACCGGCUAACUUCGUGCCAGCAGCCGCGGUAAUACGAGGGGUGCAAGCGUUAAUCGGAAUUACUGGGCGUAAAGCGUGCGUAGGUGGUUUGUUAAGCAAGAUGUGAAAGCCCCGGGCUCAACCUGGGAACUGCAUUUUGAACUGGCAGACUAGAGUAUUGUAGAGGGUAGUGGAAUUUCCAGUGUAGCGGUGAAAUGCGUAGAGAUUGGAAGGAACAUCAGUGGCGAAGGCGGCUACCUAGACAAAUACUGACACUGAGGCACGAAAGCGUGGGGAGCAAACAGGAUUAGAUACCCUGGUAGUCCACGCCGUAAACGAUGUCAACUAGCCGUCUGUGGACUUGAUCCGUGGGUGGCGUAGCUAACGCGCUAAGUUGACCGCCUGGGGAGUACGGCCGCAAGGUUA
rnacentral:rRNA from 1 species